rnacentral:rRNA from 1 species
GCAGCCGCCGCGGUAACACGGAGGGAGCUAGCGUUGUUCGGAAUUACUGGGCGUAAAGCGCGCGUAGGCGGUUACUCAAGUCAGAGGUGAAAGCCCGGGGCUCAACCCCGGAACUGCCUUUGAAACUAGGUGACUAGAAUCUUGGAGAGGUCAGUGGAAUUCCGAGUGUAGAGGUGAAAUUCGUAGAUAUUCGGAAGAACACCAGUGGCGAAGGCGACUGACUGGACAAGUAUUGACGCUGAGGUGCGAAAGCGUGGGGAGCAAACAGGAUUAGAUACCCCAGUAGUCCCUGUCUCUUAUAC